GGGGUGCCUGAGGCACUGCAGAAAGUGGGUCUGAGCCUCGAGGAUGACGGUGUUGCAGGAACCCGUCUAGGCUGCUAUAUGGCAAGCACUAAACCACUAUGCUUACUGAGAUGGGGUUUUCCUCGCAGAACGCCUUUAUGCAGAACAAGCUUUCAGAAGGGGAACAAAUCUUAUCUGGUGGAGUGUUUCAUAAGCAGAAAAGCCAUGAUGAUAUUGUUACUGAGUUUGGUGAUUGAGCUUGCUUUCCCCUUCCAUUGUUGGUACAUGUAUAUUGCAAGACAGAUUGGCUUGCCAAAGGAUCAGAAUGUUACCAAAAGAGCCUUAGUUUAAAUCCUUUCCUCUGGUAUCCCUUCGAAUCAUUAUGUGAAAUAGGUGAAAAGCCAGAUCCUGACCAAACAUUUAAAUUCACAUCUUCACAGAACUUUAGCAACUGUCUGCCCAACUCUUGCACAGCACAAGUACCUAAUCAUAGUUUAUGUCACAGACAGCCUGAGACUGUUCUCACGGAAACACCACAGGACACAACUGAAUUAAACAGAUUGAAUUUAGAAUCUUCCAAUUCAAAGUACUCCUUGAAUACAGAUUCCCCAGUGUCUUCUAUUGAUUCAGCUGUAAUUUCACCUGAUACUCUCCCACUGGGAACAGGAACUUCCAUAUUUUCUAAACAGGUUCAAAAUAAACCAAAAACUGGUUGAAGUUUAUUAGGAGGACCAGCAGCUCUUAGUCCAUUAACCCCAAGUUUUGGGAUUUUGCCAUUAGAAACCCCAAGUCCUGGAGAUGGAUCCUAUUUACAAAACUACACUAAUACACCUUCUGAAAUUGAUGUGCCAUCCACCGGAUCCCCUUAAAAAAAGUCUGUUGCCAGAAUCGGCCAAACUGGAGCAAAGUCUGUCUUCUCACAGGGUGGAAAUAGCCGAGAGGUAACUCCAAUUCUUGCACAAACACAAAGUUCUGGUCCAUAAAUAAGUUCAACACCUCAGGUAUUGAGCCCCACUAUGGCAUCUCCCCCAAAUGUGCUGCAUUGAAGUUCACGACUCU
rnacentral:lncRNA from 10 species